rnacentral:rRNA from 1 species
UACAGAGGCCUCGAGCGUUAAUCGGAGUCACUGGGCUUAAAGGGUGCGUAGGCGGGUCCGCAAGUGCCUUGUGAAAUCCCACGGCUCAACCGUGGAAUGGCUCGGCAGACUGCGGGUCUUGAGGUCGGUAGGGGUCGCUGGAACUCUAGGUGGAGCGGUGAAAUGCGUAGAUAUCUAGAGGAACGCUAAAGGUGAAGACAAGCGACUGGGCCGAUUCUGACGCUGAGGCACGAAAGCGUGGGGAGCGAACGGG